rnacentral:rRNA from 1 species
CCAAUAGCGUAUAUUAAAGUUGCUGCAGUUAAAAAGCUCGUAGUUGAAUUUCGGGACCAAUAUGUCGGUCGUGCCUCGGUACGUACUGGCAUCGUUGGUUUCUCCCUUCUGACGAACCAUGAUGUCAUUCAUUUGGUGUCGUGGGGAAUCAGGACUGUUACUUUGAAAAAAUUAGAGUGUUUAAAGCAGGCUCACGCUUGAAUACAUUAGCAUGGAAUAA